GUCCAGUGACUUGAGUGUAAGAAGGACGAACAACCCAAGGAUGACGUGCCUUUAGGCUGCAGUACUUCCCCAGAGCUUCCCCCGAGUGUCUAAGGCAUUUCUGUUGGUGAAGAGCAGUUCCAGGAGUGGGAAGAGGACUCUCCGGGGAUUGUUGGCUGUGGGGAGAGAUUCUCUGCUCACUUGUUCAUGUCUCCUCCUUGAUUUUUUGUUUUGCUCCAGGACGAGUCAAGGAUGUGUCCACAUCAUAGUGGCUCAGACCAAAGACAACAAGUACACACUGGACCAGACGAGCGCUGUGUUCGACAGCAUCCCUGAGGUGGUGCACUAUUACUCCAAUGAGAAGCUGCCUUUCAAGGGAGCAGAGCACAUGGCCCUGCUCUACCCUGUGCACAGCAAGCUUCACUAAGUUCCAGCUAACGCGAGCCCAGGAGGCCACCAGCGCCUAAGAGCGUCUCAGUGGACAAGGCUGGACUGCUCCCCACACCGAGUGCAGAGUGGGACUCACCCCUAAAAGUCAGAAAGUCUGCGAUCUUGAGUCCAUUGCUAAGUAGCUGUACAAUAAGGAACCAUCCUUCACCUGUCGCCUCCUCCUCUGAAGUAGGAGGUUCUGUUUGGGGGGGGUGACCCUCAGGAAAGGUAAGUCUAGAGUUCAGGGGCACAGAAGGUCUCCAGCAAUGUGCGAGUUGUUCCCUGGGAUACCAGAUCUCUGAACACACCAACAGCGCACACCCCACUCGGCCUUCACCUGGGAUCACGUGGACUGGAAGAGCAUUUAGUGUCGCACCCCUUAGCAGGGGACUUGGAUGGACAGUGGGAAAUGUGAACAAUGGGCAAGAAGUUGUCUUUCUCCCUCCAGUGUCCUGAAUCAGCUCUGUGUUCCUGCAGAUCACCACGCUAAGGUGUGGCAAAAGGAUCACUUUGUUGGUCAGCUUUUCUAAGAAAAAUUGGUCUUUUCUCAUUUUCUGUGGACCUUCUUUUAAAUAAUUUUCCAGGAACCCAAUAAUAUAAGCAUAAAUGGGCAAGAAGACACCCCAGAUCUAGGAAUCACCAGUAUAAUGAUAAGCCUUGGCAUCAUUAUCAUAAUUCUGGAUCGCAGAGUAAAAUAUACCACAAAGAUUUCCUUUCGGAUUUUUAAAAAUUCACAAAGCUCAACAGCCAUUUCCUAUUGGAUGGUUAUGUAAAACUUCAGAUAUCUUUUGUUUUGUCUUUGUGCAUUUUAGUUCCCAUGGAAUCAUCUUUAAGUUUGUCUCUAAAAUUAGAAUUGCUUCAUAUUUUUAGUAAAUUUUUUUUCAAAAACAAUUUUGAGAUCUGAUUGUAUGAACUGGGUCACUAGAGUCUGCAAAGAUUCUCUUUCUGUACAAAGCAAGCCUGUCCACGCUGGAUAAAAGUAUUUUAAAGCCAGGUGCUGUGGUGCACACCUGUGAUCCCAGUGACCAGGGAGGCUGAGGCAGGAGGAUCACAAGUUCAGGGCCAGCUUCUGCAAAUUAGCAAGGCCCUAAGCAACUUAGUGAGACCCUGUCUAAAAAUAAAAAAUAAGAAGGGCUGGGAAUGUAGCUCAGUGGUGAAGCACUCUAGGUUCAAUUCCCAGUACAAAAUAAAUAAAUAAAUAAAUAAAUAAAAUAAAUGUAAAGACUCAAAUCAGGUGUGGAGGUACACAUUUCUAAUCCCAGCUACUAGGGAAGUUGAGGCAGAAGGAUCACAAGUUAGAGGCCAACCUCAGCAGCUUAGUGAGAUUCUGUCUUAAAAAUAAAAAGGACCAGAAAUAAUGUAGCUCAGUGAUAGAGUGUUCACCCAGCAUGCACAAGGCCCUGGAUUCAAUUCCUAGCACUACACCAAAAAACAACACCACCAACACCAAAAAAAAAAAAAAAAAAAAAAACUUUGAGAUCGUCCCUAACUACUAUUCCUUAAUACAUUAAAUUAAUAGUCAUAGUAUUGUUAUCUUUAUGAUUUACCAUGAAUUUAUAUUGCCUAUUUAUUGAUGACGACAACUCUCUGGUGGGUGGCUCUGGAAUUAGAACUGUCUUCUGGGGUUCAUAAUCUGAUUCUCAGAGCUGGUCCAGAUGAGAUGUGCUGACCGUCAUCAACGAAAAGUUAACUUUCGUAGCUUAUUUCAAAUACACAAAAAACUGUUGAUUUGGGUAAUUUUCAGGAGAGCAUAACUUUCCAGUUAUUAUCAUCUGAUUCAGAAGUCAGCACAUUUUUUGCUUUUUAAGUUUUGAUCUAAGUCUAAGAGUUGUGAAGGUUGUGAGAUCUUCAAUAAUGUUUCGUUGUAUAAGUCUUGAUAGAUUUGCUGGGGGCGGGGUACUGGGGAUCAAACCCAGGGGCACUUACCACUGAACCACGUCCCCAACCCUUUUUAUUUUUUGAGACAGGGUCUUACUGAGUUGCUUAGGGCCUCACUAAUUUGCUAAGACUAGCCUCAACCUUGUGAUCCUCCUGCCUCAGCCCCCUGAGUCACUGGGAUUACAGACCUGAACCACCAUGCCCGGCAUUGAUAGAAGUUUUUAAGUAUGUAUUGGUUCAUGUACUAUAUCUUUAGUACAAGUUUUUUUUUUAAUUUUCAGCAUCCAUAGUUCCAAUUCCAUUCAACAAAUAUUUAUUAUUUUCUAUAUGCACAUUAUUCAUUGUGUUAAACUUAUUUUUAGGUAUACAUGCUAGUGAUGAAACCUUAUUUUUUUUUUGCUAACCUUAUUCUACAAAGGAAAUACAACAAUUAUCUUCACUUUAAUAAAUGCUAAAAGCUUUAUAAAUUUUUUUUCUUUGUGCAUUAAAUGAUUUUUGGCCCAUACCCAGCAACUAUGAUGAAUGUAUAAUGAAAUAACCUUUUGAAAAUAGGCCUGAUGCAUGAAGUAUUUAUUGAGCUUCCAUCAUAUAACUAGGAUUGUGCUUCCUCUACAUAAUUUUGCUGUGACGGUGACGCUCUUCUCUUUAUAUAAUUAAAAGUGGAGGAGACUGGGAGUUUAUAUAUAGUCCACUUACCUUACAACCGCACAGGAAGUUAAAAUAAGCAGAAAUAUAGUAAAUUAGUGGAAGCCUGGUGAAGCCGGUGUUAAGCUACUGUUUUCUGCUUAGGUUGUGACACAAGCUGACAAAAGCCAGGGAAUUCGCAGCUGGGUGGUGGCAUAGAGUGCCAUAUGUUCUAAAAACAAUCAGACCCAGCAGGGAGACCCUAAUGGCUUCCUUGUUAAGCCUCCUGAGGGGCCAGCUGAUCUGAAACUCUGUGACAGGUUCUCUGAGCUCUGCAUGGUUGGGCUUUUAAUCAGCUUAUCUCCACACAAGUAUUUUUCUGCAAUCUCCGUUCUUUUCAUUCUCUCAGAAUAUUCUCUGGCAAAAUAUUGUCUUUUGGCGAAUUCUCCCUCAGUGCCUAGAUUCCAGCAUGUGUAGGGCUGUGUCAGUUCUCCCUUCUGUAUCACAGCUUCUUUCCAAAAAUUGUUCCGCUCCAGAGUCCUGAGUAACGCACGCAGCUGGUCAGUUUCACCUCUGGGAGGGCAGAGGGCCGCCGGGUGCGUGGUGAGCACCUGUGGCCCAGCCACUCACUCGGGAGGCUGAGGCAGGAGCAUUGCUUGAGCCCACAAGUUCACACCCAGCCUGGGCAACGCAGCAAGACCCCUGCUGGGGGAAAAAGGCAGAAAGACAUAUCUGUUUCCUUGGAUUCCACAGCCCUUUCUAUCAGGAUGGAUUUCUUACAUUUAUGUAACAUAAGAAUGAAAUAAUGGAGAAGGUUCAAUAUGUAUACAAAAGGGCAAGUAUUGACAUGUCUAUUCUCUAAGGGGGCAGAAGUGUUUUAAGUUAUUCAUGGUGCUUUCAUAAGAGGCAUAUGUAGGAAACCCUUCAUUCUUCACUGUUUAAAGCCUGCUUUAUUGAAAUGGUGUUCAUUUAUUGACCUCUGCUGCAGGAUAGGGAGGUGGGAAGAUAAUGUACAGAGAAAGCCAGAUAUUUGGGGGGCAGAUGGGAAAUAGUCCUAAUUUGGAAACUGGAUUAUUUUACAGUGUUAUUACUCUGUUAUUGGCUCUUAGUAUUGGGUACAUCUUAACAUUUAAUUCAGAACAACAACUAUGAGACAUUCUUUAAUUGCUUGUUCUACUCUAUAAAAAUGCCAUUUUUUUUUAGAAGUCAGGGUUAAUGUCUUGGAUUUCCAUUAUUCUAGGAGGAAGAAACCCACUGAGUGAUAUGUCUAGAUUUCAUUUCUCCUGUGCAUGCUUUUGAUAUCAGCAGGAUUUCGUUGAUACCUGCCUCAGUGAUCUCUCAUCCAUUGUUGUCUCUUUCUUAUUUUCCAUAACCAGCACUAGCGUGGCCCUGUGUUCUCUUUACAAUCACUCUUUAUUCUCAUUUCCAAUUUUUGCGCUCCAGUCACUGACUUGGAGACACUUGGCCUCCUGCUAUGACAGCCUCCAGGUCUGGCCUUGUGCAAUGAUGGUGUUUUACUGCCAUCUAAUGGAAAGAGAUCAAACUGCAGCUGGGAGAAGAAGCUGUGCGUGUAAGGGUGGAAUUUUCUAAAGGAUUUCUGACACAGUCCAUAAAAGAAAAUAAUAAUAAUAAUAAUAAUGUUUCAGUUGCCCCCCUAAAAUAUAACCUUUACUGUGGCAAAUGUGCUUUGAAACUUCAUAUAACUGUCAUCACGAGGUCUCUGGAUUCCAACUAGGUCGUGUAGUUUAGAAUCUUAAGAAUAUUGUAGUGAAUAAAUUGGCAGCAGAUCAUUGAGUUAGGCAUCACGUUUCAGCCAUAUGGUUAUAUCGUCAGAGGGAUUUAACAUUUUAAAUGUCAACUGGUGCAUUCUUGUAAUUUUCAAAAUAUUUGAAGAUGGUAUAUAAUACAGGUGCCUCUCUAUAGUACCUUGAUAAUUUAUAUGGUAUCAGAGAUAUUUUUUAAAAUUUCUGGAUGUGUUGCAGUAGCUGGUGUAGGCUGUGUGCCCUCCUAAGAUGGUUUGCUCUGAGAUGGAAUUUUAAAUAAACAUUAUGUCAAAAAAACUGGAGUGGUUGUGCUGAAUCCAG
rnacentral:lncRNA from 1 species